GCAUAUCAAUAAGCGGAGGAAAAGAAACUAACAAGGAUUGCCUCAGUAACGGCGAGUGAAGCGGCAAAAGCUCAAAUUUGAAAUCUAGCACCUUCGGUGUUCGAGUUGUAAUUUGAAGAUGGUAACCUUGGGUUUGGCUCUUGUCUAUGUUCCUUGGAACAGGACGUCAUAGAGGGUGAGAAUCCCGUCUGAUGAGAUGCCCAUUCCUAUGUAAGGUGCUAUCGAAGAGUCGAGUUGUUUGGGAAUGCAGCUCUAAGUGGGUGGUAAAUUCCAUCUAAAGCUAAAUAUUGGCGAGAGACCGAUAGCGAACAAGUACAGUGAUGGAAAGAUGAAAAGAACUUUGAAAAGAGAGUGAAAAAGUACGUGAAAUUGUUGAAAGGGAAGGGCAUUAGAUCAGACUUGGUGUUUUACGAUUAUCUUCUCUUCUUGAGUUGUGCACUCGUAUUUCACUGGGCCAGCAUCGAUUCGGAUGGCAAGAUAAUGGCAGUUGAAUGUGGCUUCACUUCGGUGGAGUGUUAUAGCUUCUGCUGAUAUUGCCUGUCUGGAUCGAGGGCUGCGUCUUUUGACUAGGAUGCUGGCGUAAUGAUCUAAUGCCGCCCGUCUUGAAACACGGACC
rnacentral:rRNA from 1 species